UGUUACUAUACUUUAAUUUAAAAGGUCCGGUUUGCAUUUGGGGAAUAAAGAAUACUCUUUUAGUGACAU
rnacentral:tRNA from 3 species